UACAGAGGUCUCAAGCGUUGUUCGGUUUCAUUGGGCGUAAAGGGUGCGUAGGUGGCAGGGUAAGUUUGAUGUGAAAUCUCCGGGCUUAACCCGGAAACUGCAUUGAAUACUAUCCUGCUCGAGGGUUGGAGGGGGGACUGGAAUUCUCGGUGUAGCAGUGAAAUGCGUAGAUAUCGAGAGGAACACCAGUGGCGAAGGCGAGUCCCUAGACAACUCCUGACACUGAGGCACGAAAGCUAGGGGAGCAAACAGG
rnacentral:rRNA from 1 species